rnacentral:rRNA from 2 species
AAAUUGAAGAGUUUGAUCAUGGCUCAGAUUGAACGCUGGCGGCAGGCCUAACACAUGCAAGUCGAACGGUAACAGGAAGCGCUUGCUGCUUCGCUGACGAGUGGCGGACGGGUGAGUAAUGUCUGGGAAACUGCCUGAUGGAGGGGGAUAACUACUGGAAACGGUAGCUAAUACCGCAUAACGUCGCAAGACCAAAGAGGGGGACCUUCGGGCCUCUUGCCAUCGGAUGUGCCCAGAUGGGAUUAGCUUGUUGGUGGGGUAACGGCUCACCAAGGCGACGAUCCCUAGCUGGUCUGAGAGGAU